rnacentral:rRNA from 1 species
AGUGAACGCUGGCGGCAGGCCUAACACAUGCAAGUCGAGCGGCAGCGGGUCCUUCGGGAUGCCGGCGAGCGGCGGACGGGUGAGGAAUACAUCGGAAUCUGCCCUGUCGUGGGGGAUAACCUAGGGAAACUUAGGCUAAUACCGCAUACGACCUACGGGUGAAAGCGGGGGAUCGCAAGGCCUCGCGCGACAGGAUGAGCCGAUGUCCGAUUAGCUAGUUGGCGGGGUAAAGGCCCACCAAGGCGACGAUCGGUAGCUGGUCUGAGAGGAUGAUCAGCCACACUGGGACUGAGACACGGCCCAGACUCCUACGGGAGGCAGCAGUGGGGAAUAUUGGACAAUGGGCGCAAGCCUGAUCCAGCCAUGCCGCGUGGGUGAAGAAGGCCUUCGGGUUGUAAAGCCCUUUUGUCCGGGAAGAAAUCGUCUGGGCUAAUACCCCGGGCGGAUGACGGUACCGGAAGAAUAAGCACCGGCUAACUUCGUG